rnacentral:rRNA from 1 species
CAGGGAAUCUUGCACAAUGGGCGAAAGCCUGAUGCAGCGACGCCGCGUGGGGGAUGAAGGCCUUAGGGUCGUAAACCCCUUUCAGCAGGGACGAAAAUGACGGUACCUGCAGAAGAAGCCCCGGCCAACUACGUGCCAGCAGCCGCGGUAAGACGUAGGGGGCGAGCGUUGUCCGGAUUUAUUGGGCGUAAAGAGCUCGUAGGCGGUUGCGUAAGUCGGAUGUGAAAACUCAGGGCUCAACCCUGAGACGCCAUCCGAUACUGCGCUGACUUGAAUCCAGUAGGGGAGUGUGGAAUUCCUGGUGUAGCGGUGAAAUGCGCAGAUAUCAGGAGGAACACCCAUGGCGAAGGCAGCACUCUGGGCUGGUAUUGACGCUGAGGAGCGAAAGCAUGGGUAGCGAACAGGAUUAGAUACCCCCGUAGUCC